CCUUUUAAUUUCAACACCACCCCUAACCAGCCCAACAUUGCAACAACACUGCUCAGCUCAACUCCUAUCUAUCUGACCCAGACCAUAUCUGCCUAUCACAUCUUCUCAACAACAACAACCUUCAACACACAAUACAUCAUAGCGUCCAAACUCCAAACAAUGACAACAAUGAAAUCCCGAUCAAAAGCCAGAAACAAUAGCAACCUCAAUAGCUUCGAUCGAUCCUAGCCCCGACCCGAUGAAAAACCAACCUCAACCCGUUCCUUUUCCCCUCGUAUGAGUCGCGUGCUCCCCACGCAAUGGUGUACCAUAAAAAGUCCAAGAACAUUCUAGAAACUGUGCCAAGGUGGUCUCCCAACGGAAAAUUUGUUAUUUCUGGGAUGGAUUUGUACGAAUUCGUAAAGAGGUGUACGAAUUUCACUGGUUUUAAGGGAAUUUCAAUUUUCCCCAUUCCUAUUGGUCAAACCCAUUCAAAAUUCUCCAAAAAAAUCCAAAAUCAUCACAAGAUUAAGGGGGAAAUUUAGUUAUCAUUCAAAAUUUGGAACAUAUUUCAAUUGGCCAUCCCGAAAUUGCCCCCCAUUUUACUUUUUCCCACAUCGAUUAAACACUGAAGGGGGAGCCUAAUCUUCUUCUAUAGAAGUGACUCAAAACCAGAAGAAAGAUAAGUCUCGAGUGGUUAAAAAGAUCUUUUGAGCAAAGAUAGUCUCUUCUUAGUAAAAAAAAAGAUUUUGAAAAGUUGGUCGGCUAAUUGGAGGUUCACGAGUCGACGACGAUUAUCUACGGUGGUGGUAAACUCUAACAAAGUUCAAAGUAUCGUUUUGCUGCCCAAGAAUCGGUAGUCGUUGCUGUAGAGGCUUUGAGAGCCUUAGGGUAUCGCGAAGAGGAUUGCAAUUGUUGUUUGAGAUGAGAAGUUUGUCAUUCUUGAUUUGACGAUCUUUAGUUAGUUUUUUAAGUUCACCUUUCUGCUUUGGAUGAUAUUUCUUUUGGCAUAAAAUCUGUGUUCAUUAUGUUCUUUCGAUUUAGCAUAAUCGUCAUCUCUAAAUUCGAUACUUUCAAUCAAAUGUAUGCCCAUUUUGCUUUAAUCUAUUUUGUCAUAGCUUUAAGUUUUGAUUGCCUCUUUCUAGCUUGAAUUUCCUUUAUUUCUGUUUGUUCAUGGAUAGAUUUGACUUUAAUUGUUGUAGUUUGGAUUAGUUUCUUCAAGUUUAAUCGACAUUGUAGUAUCCUUGUUUUCUUUGGGUCAAUAGUAAUUGUCGUCUAAGCGUUCCUGGACUCUAAUUGACAAAUAGUAGUAAUGGACCCCUUUAGGGUAUUUAGAUAUUUCAAUUUAUUGACUUGUUGAGAAAGGAUAGAAUAGGCUUUAAGCGACUCAAAAUUUGGCAUUUUACAAUGUUCUUUUCACUUAGCCUACUCUAUUUUAUUUAAGUAGAAUCGUCUCAGUUUGUUUGAAUGAAGCAGAUAUGUAGCUACCCUCGAGCUGUUCAGCUUUUUCUGUACAAAAAUUUUCUAGCUUCUCUUGUUUUUGAUGUAUUGAUUUUCUUUGUCGUUGUGGUCGUUUUCUGAGAACUCGUAUGUGAUAGAAAAUCUAGCAUGCUUACGUCUUUAGUGCAAACUGGUUUAUCGUUGUUGUAAGUAAAAGAUGCAUUUUCAGAUGUUCCAUGUAUGAUAUAACCUGAAACCUUGGUUUAGUAUAAUACUUUAUUUUUUUUACAAAUUAAAAUCCUACUCAUAUAUAUAUUGACUUACUUCUCUAAUUUGUUUUGUUAGAACUAUUACCUAAUAGUUUGAAGUGUUUAAUGCUAAUUCGGUAUAUUGAGUCCCUUUCUUGACAGUGUGCUGAUGUGAUAAGAAUAUAUAUCUUUGCCAUGGUAUGGUAAUUAAGGGGGUCUUUCUUUGUAAGUCUUUUUCUCAAUACACGUUGUUGCUUAUGCAUAUUAAGUCUCUACGAUGUUUUAAUUAGUUUAAAGUGUGUUGUUUCUACAUAUCUAAAUUGUCAUUCCAAUUUAGUUAGGAAGAUGGCACAUGUUUUUGCCUUUAUGAUCUGUUUUCAUCAUUUUAUAAGGAAUACUGGAAUAUAAGACCCAACCCUUUUUGCAUAUACUCUUUCUUUGUUUAAUUGAUAUGAUUGUGUCUUUUUAUGUCCAAUCCGUUUUUGACUAUCUGUUAGGAUCCCAGUUACUUAGUGUAUAUUAUUAGCACGUAUUAAUUCUCUUUAUAUUCUUUCCUGAGUCGGUUAUGUAUUAACUACAUUUAAAUUUCUUCUGUUUUAGAUGAACUUGUAAGUUUGAAUCGAUACGAAUGUCUUACUAUCUUUAAUCGACUUUUGAUUAUUUAAGAUUAUAAUACGUUGCCAUUUUUAGUUAAAUCCACAUUAGUUUUCGUCUAGUUUUUCCUCUCUUUGAUGGAUUUUGUGUUAACUAAUUUGAAUUUUUUCGUGGUUGGCUAUGUGUUAAUUUUACUUCUCUUUCCCUUCGUUAAUCAUGUAUUAAUGUUCUUUAUCUUUAUUGUUUUGCAUGAAAACCCGUUGGAGUCCAAACAGACUCGCUGCAUUCCACAAUAGGCCAAUGAGGCCCAUCUUUUGAGUCAAGCCCGAAAGAAAGUCUAACGUCUGUUACAUAGCGCGUGGAUAAGAGUUGUCAAAAGAAGAAGAAUGGGUUAAAGUCCCAUUUUUUGAAGUAGCCAAGAGAAUUGAAAGUCUCAUUUUAUUUCUUAUUGUUGUCUUUUUAUUAUUCGUUUAUUUUUUCCAUUAUUUAUUUAUCUGGGCUUCGAAGCUAAAUUUAUAAAUUAAUACAGGUGAAGCAGGUUGUGGCCAAAAAAGCUCAAAAAUAUAGUUUAGGAUAGAUUAUGGGCUAAAGCCCAAUAUCUAGAUUAGGACAGGUGAAAAUGAGCUUAGAUUAGGACAAGUGAUGAGUGAUGAUUUUUACCACUUAUUCUCACUAAACAUUUGUGUUCAUUACCUUGUUUUUAAUAAAUGAAUUAGACAUAUUCAUGAGUAAAUGCACUAAUAUCCAUUCUUUGAGGGCAUAGAGUUGAGGAGAUCAAAAGAUGUGGAUAGGGGCUAAAAUGAUCAAAAGGGAGCAAAGAAGAGUGCAGCAAAAGACCUGGACUAUAGGUCGCGGUCAGCAUAAUGCGGUCGCGGCCACGAAUAGCCAUGCGCAAUCGUGGUUCAGCGAGAAUAUGCCCAGGGGUAGAUCUGUAAAAGUACUUAAACGCAUCUCAAGCCAUAUUUAAGCAAAACCUCAUUCUUCUUUAGGUAUUGCUUUGCUCAUAAGAUAUUUUGAACUCAAGACUUGAAACCCUAAUAGUGCAAGUGUGUAAUUAACUUUGGAGGCUAAAUUUCUUAGGAUUUUUGUGAAGAAUGAAUGAUUUGGAUAAUCCUUAUGGUA